GAAUAAGGAUUAUUUAGGGUUCACAAUUAACUAAGAGUAAUUAAUAUUUUUACCUGCAAUGGGAGCAAGGAAAAAGAAGGAUUAAUUACAGGUAGACUUAUGUUAGACUGCUUCAUUGAAUUUUAACUAGUCUUUGUUAAAUUUUAUGUCGCAGAUAUAGACGAAUGUUCCACAAACUCCCAUAGCUGUGACGCCAGCGCUAUUUGCUGUAAUAGUCAAGGAUCCCAUAGCUGCGCAUGUAAAGCUGGGUAUUCGGGGAAUGGGAAAACUUGCGUUGAUAUAGACGAAUAUUCCACAAACUCCCACAGCUGUGACGCCAGCGCUAUUUGCAGUAAUAUUCAAGGGUCCCAUAGCUGCGCAUGUAAAGCUGGGUAUUCGGGAAAUGGAAAAACUUGCGUUGCUCUAACGUACUAGAGAAAUCGGAUGGAUCACAAGUCAUCUGGACGCUACACACUACAACCUGUAUGCAUCACCCCGCUGUUUUACUGAUGCCAUCGUGCGUAUUUACAAAAGCCAGCAAGGCUAUCAAAAGUUUAACCAUAAAUCUUCUGUUAACGGUCGUUUUCAUUAAGCUAACUUCAUAUUGCGUCAAAAAAUGGGCCUGACAAAAUAUAGAGACUUUGCAUGCUUGUGAGUAUAGUCUAUAUGGAGAUAUGAGCUGAAAAAAUAUAAAUCAAAGGAAAUUGAAGCAUCUUUAACAAAUGUUGUCAUAUCGAGUUCAGAACAUCAUCAUUUGAGCUCUAUGAUGGGUACUAGGUUUUCAAAGAAAAAAAUCACCUUUAUUUUGCUAAA